UUCCUCUCUCACGUCUCUCACUUACACUCUCUCCUAUCUGUCUCUGUCACCUUAUUCUCUUUCUCUAUCUCUCUGUAUUCUUCUCAUCGUUAUCUCUCUAUCACUUUAUUCUGUCCUGUUUCUUUCUUUCUUUAUUUAUCUUUCUUCCUCUCACUCUAUCUCUCAUUUGCUCUCCUUGCUCCCAUCUCUAACACUCUCGCCUCUCUCACUUUCACUCUCUCCUAUCUGUCUCUGUCAACUUAUUCUCUCUCCCUUUCUCUUUUUCUGUCUUUCUUUCUGCCUUUCUCUUCCCCUCCCUUUCUCUCUUUCUCCAGUUUCUCCUCCCCAUUCUCUCUCUAUCACUUUUUUCUGUCCUGUUUAUUUAUUUAUCUUUCUUUCUCUCACUCUAUUUCUUCUCAUUUGCUCUCCUUGCUCCCAUCUCUCUCUUCCACUCUCUCGCUUCCACUCUCUCCUAUCUGUCUCUGUCACCUUAUUCUUGCCCCCUCUCGCCCUCUCACUCUCUGUGUCUUUUUUCUGCCUUUCUCUCUCCCUCUCUCUGUCUGUCUUUCUCUCUGUCUUCUUGUAUCUCUCUGUCUUUAUUUCUGCCUGUCUCUCUGUCUCCCUCUCUCUCUCCCCCCCUUUCCAUAUCUUUCUACCUCUCUCUGUAUUCUUUAUCUUUCUCCUGUUUCUCUUCCCCAAUCCUCUGUUCUGUUUCUUUAUUUAUUUAUCUUACUUUCUCUCACUCUAUCUCUCAUUUGCUCUCCUUGCUACCAUCUCUCUCCUCCACUAUCUCGCGUCUCUCACUUGCACUCUCUCCUAUCUGUCUCUGUCACCUUAUUCUCUUUCUCUAUCUCUCUGUAUUCUUCUCAUCAUUCUCUCUCUAUCACUUUCUUCUGUCCUGUUUCUUUUGUUCUUUAUUUGUGUUUCUUUCUCUCACUCUAUCUCUCUGUAUUCUUCUCAUCAUUCUCUCUCUAUCACUUUCUUCUGUCCUGUUUCUUUUGUUCUUUAUUUGUCUUUUUUCUCUCACUCUAUCUCUCAUUUGCUCUGCUUGCUCCCAUCUCUAACACUCUCGCGUCUCUCAUUUACCCUCUUCCUUAUCUGUCUCUGUCAACUUUUUCUCUCCCAUUUUCUGCCUUUCUUUUUCCCUCCCUUUCUCUCUUUCUCCUUAUUUAUUUAUUUAUUUAUCUUUCCUUCGCUUACUCUCUCUCAUUUGCUCUCCUUGCUCGCGUCUCUCACUUACACUCUCACGUCUUCUUAUUCUCGCCCCUUUCUCUCUCUGUCUUUUUUUCUGUCUCUCUCUCUUCCCCUCUCUCUCUCUCAUUUUCCCUCUCUUUCCUCUCUCUCUCUCUCUCUCUCUCUCUCAGGCCCCGCCCCCUCCUCUACCUGCGCUCUGCUGCUGCUGUUUUGGCUCCUGUCAGUGAUUCACUCACAAGUUGGAAUCAGUUGAAGUAG
rnacentral:lncRNA from 1 species